rfam:Brachypodium distachyon strain Bd21 chromosome 5, whole genome shotgun sequence.
UUUUUACUUCUUCCGUCCUCAAAAAGGAUGUCUGAAAUUUGUCUAAAUUUGGAUGCAUCUAGACACUAAAGCAUGUCUAGAUACAUUCAUAUUUUAAAAAAUUUGUGACAUCCUUUUUAAGACGGAGGGAGUAUAUA